rnacentral:rRNA from 1 species
GACGAACGCUGGCGGCGUGCUUAACACAUGCAAGUCGAACGGAAAGGCCCUGCUUGCAGGGUGCUCGAGUGGCGAACGGGUGAGUAACACGUGGGUGAUCUGCCCCUUACUUUGGGAUAAGCCUGGGAAACUGGGUCUAAUACUGGAUAGGACCAUGCUGUAGGUGGUGUGGUGGAAAGAUUAGUUUCGGUAAGGGAUGAGCUCGCGGCCUAUCAGCUUGUUGGUGGGGUAAUGGCCUACCAAGGCGUCGACGGGUAGCCGGCCUGAGAGGGUGGACGGCCACAUUGGGACUGAGAUACGGCCCAGCAUCCUACGGGAGGCAGCAGUGGGGAAUAUUGCACAAUGGGCGCAAGCCGGAUGCAGCGACGCCGCGGGGGGGAUGACGGCCUUCGGGUUGUAAAAUCCUUUCAGCCAUGACGAAGCCCUUGUGGUGACGGUAGUGGGAGAAGAAGCACCGGCUAACUACGUG